rnacentral:rRNA from 1 species
GACGAACGCUGGCGGCGUGCUUAACACAUGCAAGUCGAACGGAAAGGCCCUGCUUUUGUGGGUGCUCGAGUGGCGAACGGGUGAGUAACACGUGAGUAACCUGCCCUUGACUUUGGGAUAACUUCAGGAAACUGGGGCUAAUACCGGAUAGGAGCUCCUGCUGCAUGGCGGGGGUUGGAAAGUUUCGGCGGUUGGGGAUGGACUCGCGGCUUAUGAGCUUGUUGGUGGGGUAGUGGCUUACCAAGGCUUUGACGGGUAGCCGGCCUGAGAGGGUGACCGGCCACAUUGGGACUGAGAUACGGCCCAGACUCCUACGGGAGGCAGCAGUGGGGAAUAUUGCACAAUGGGCGGAAGCCUGAUGCAGCAACGCCGCGUGCGGGAUGACGGCCUUCGGGUUGUAAACCGCUUUCGCCUGUGACGAAGCGUGAGUGACGGUAAUGGGUAAAGAAGCACCGGCUAACUACGUG